GCCUGGAAGACCCUUAUUGGUCUGGGGCGCAGGCAUCAAACCUGUAGCUGUUGAGCAACAGAGUGGUUCAUUUCCACCUUUUGAGU
rnacentral:tRNA from 1 species